GGAAAUUUAAUUCUAUAACGGAAGUUGUUAAUUUACAGAGGUUAUUUUGUAUUGUUGCUGUCUAAAUUUCCCUUUCUUCACCAUAAAUUUAUGUGAUGAGUGGAUCUAAACCUCUUUACUAGAUCAUUCAAGCUCACAGAAUGUAACCCAGAUACCACGUAGCGGCACCAUUUUCUACCUCUCAAGAAACAAGAUUACAUAUGCUAUUAAUCAAUUCACAGUUUAGAACUCCUUGUUAAAUACAACGGUCUUUACUGACUUUAGAACAGGAGCUAUAUCAAUUGAUAUUUCACAGCAGCACAAUUUGCUGUUCAUAGUAAUUAAGCAAUAUUUAGAUUUAAAUUAUUUAAUUUCUUCCUUUAACUGUGAUUUUUUAGGGAAAGAAAAAUUAUGCCCAAUUUUGAAAGCACUCGAAAAUUCUACAGUGAAGAUUAAAUUGUUAUUAGUCAUCAAUACAGAAGUAACAAAUCAACAGUGGAUUCCACAUCUGGGUUCGGCAUUAAGGAACCGAAAUUGGGUAAAAUUCAGUUCCAAUUUUAGAUUGCAAAACAUUUUCUAAAUCCCGAAUAUGAACAAACAGCUUUAAACAAGUUUGGUCGUCUUACAUCAGAUAAAAGAUACAAGAAGCCAAGCAGGCAGCAGACAUCAGACCGUGUGAAUGUAUGCAAUGCCUUUUUACUAUACAAUUUCAUAACCUAAAAUCCAAAAUAUUGAUUUGUAGCGAGAGAGAGAACCUGUAGGAGACGUCUCUGAUUAAAGAUGAAGAAGUAGAAGACAUUGGAAGAAGAACAUCAUCGUGAGCAGUCGAGGCAAAGUCAAACUCCAUUUUAUUACUUUCAGUACUUCCCAUUAUCAUCCUCUCCAAUAAUCUUCGGGCAAUCUGCUCCUAUGCGUGUUUUCUGUGUGUGCGCGCGCGUGAGAGAGAGAAGUCGUGGGGUUAAGAAGACGGGCAGCAGACAGCUCCAAGAGGCUCCCAACGGUAACGAAAUU
rnacentral:lncRNA from 1 species